rnacentral:rRNA from 1 species
CCUACGGGUGGCAGCAGUGAGGAAUAUUGGUCAAUGGGCGAGAGCCUGAACCAGCCAAGUCGCGUGAGGGAGUACUGCCCUAUGGGUUGUAAACCUCUUUUGUCGGGGAGCAAAAGCCGGACGUGUCCGGCUGUGAGAGUACCCGAAGAAAAAGCAUCGGCUAACUCCGUGCCAGCAGCCGCGGUAAUACGGAGGAUGCGAGCGUUAUCCGGAUUUAUUGGGUUUAAAGGGUGCGCAGGCGGAUUUUUAAGUCAGCGGUAAAAUCGUGGGGCUCAACCCCAUCCAGCCGUUGAAACUGGUGAUCUAGAGAGUGCGAGAGGUAUGCGGAAUGCGUGGUGUAGCGGUGAAAUGCAUAGAUAUCACGCAGAACCCCGAUUGCGAAGGCAGCAUACCGGUGCACAACUGACGCUCAGGCACGAAAGCGUGGGUAUCGAACAGGAUUAGAUACCCUUGUAGUC